ensembl:lncRNA FAM157C family with sequence similarity 157 member C
ACAAGAACUGGCGGCGGCAGCAGCAGCAGCAGCAGCAGCAGCAGCAGCAGCAGCAGCAGCAGCAACUGGAUUUGCUUUUUCACCAGAGGAUCCAGAUUUCCCUGUGGCCUCGCAAACAAAAAAGAAGGAAGACGGAGCAGCACAGUCAUUCCUUUGUGAAAAAGGCAUUCAGAGACGGGGUUUCACCGUGUUAGCCAGGAUGGUCUCGAUCUCCUGACCUCGCGAUCCGCCCGCCUCGGCCUCCCAAAGUGCUGGGAUUACAGGCGUGAGCCACCGCGCCCGGCUUCAGCUGGUUUUUCAAAAGUCAUGGCGUGUAACUGUCCGAACAGUGAACUUCGGAGAUCCACCGGAGGGGCGAGGCCACAGCUCGACCGCGAGCACCUGAGCAUCCUGCACCGCCUGCGACGGCCGUCAGGGGGCGCGAUGCCGCCUCACAGAACCUCAAGAGGCGCCCGGGUUCCGGCACAGACGGCCUGCGGCUCCAGGGGGCGGAACCGAGCCGUCUCCUCAGGACCUACGCAGGAGGCGCCGUCAUCCCUACAGGGACACCUGAGAGGGCCCAGCCUCCUCCUCCUCAGGACCUACUCGGGAGACGCCGCUGGCUCUCUAGGAACACCUGGGGACCGUGGCCAGGGACGACCCAGCCUCCUUCUCCUCAGCUCCUCAGGAACGACUGGGGAAGCUGUGGCUUCAUGGUCCCCGAGGCUGCCCGAGGAAAGGUAUUUCAGGACAGCCAGGAGGGGGCGCACAUCCGCCGCGAAACUGUGAGCAAGAGCGUCUGUGCUGAACCAUGGCGCCACCAGAGGGCGCGCGAUCCCGCCCCAACCAACUUCCCGCUGAAGUGCCAGAAGCAGCGAGGAGCUUCAACUUCCUCAGGGCAGCACGGGGGUCGUGUUAAUUUGGUGUUCUUCAUUGAUGAUGAUUAUUCCCCACCUUCUAAGAGACAAAGACCAACGAGCCACCACAGCCACCAGUCCCAGAACCUGCCAAUGCUGGGGAACGGAAAAUGAGGGAGUUCAACUCUGGCCCUCACAAUCCAGUGGAGGAGACGAAACUCAUCUGCCUCUGUCCCUCUGGGCACGCCUCAUGCCAGGUGCAUCUGUGGACAGGGGCCAUGCUCCUGGGCUUCCAAAGUUGGAGAAAGCUGCCAGGCUCAGGUCUGAAGGCCAGAAUUCUACAGUAAGUCCUACUGAGUCAAGGUGGGAGCAGGGUCGGUAGCUUCCGAGGCUCUGCGGGAGAAUCCGUUUCCUGGCCGUAGAGGUGGCCUGCACUCCGCAGCUUGUGCUGCCCGUCUCGAAUGACUGGAGUUUCCUGCUUCUGUCACUACACCUCCCACCCUCUCCAUCACCUGCUCUGCUCUUACAAGGAUCCGAAGAAAUGGAAUCAUCGUAUCGCUGAUCUACGUAAACAAACUGAAGAAUUGUCUGAAAGAAAAUAUGACAUGAACUUAUGAAUUCAACAGGUGAAGAUUUACAACUUGAUAAAUCAACUUUGUCAGCUCGAGCUGUAAAAGCCAAAGGUCCGGUGAUGAUCCCAUACCCUUUUUUCCAGUCUCAUGUUGAAGAUUUUUAUGUAGAAGGCCUUCCCAAAGGAAUUUUUUUUUUUUUUUUUUUUUUUUGAGAUGGAGUUUUCACUCUUAUCGCCCAGGCUGGGGUGCAAUGGCGCAACCUUGCUGGUCACUGCAACCUCUGCCUCCUGGGUUCAAGAAAUUCUCCUGCCUUAGCCUCCCAAGUCACUGGGAUUACAGGUGCCCACCACCAUACCAGGCUAAUUUUUGUAUUUUUAGUGGAGAUGCGGUUUCACCAU